AAGCAAUUGAGGUUAAGUGACUUUUACGAUACAUCCUUACCUGUUGCUCCUUUUUGGAGUACAGUAAAUGAUGAUUGGAGCUCACAUGACACAUGAUUAGUGUCUCUGCAAGAGCUUGGAAAUGUCAAGGAACUCCUUGUUGCUCCUACCUGAA
rnacentral:snoRNA from 1 species